rnacentral:lncRNA from 10 species
CCACUUCCAUUUUUUAGUUUACUCCCUUAUUUUGCUGGGGUCCAUCAUCAAGUAACUUCCUAAGAAGGUAUGUGGAGGCUGGGUGCAGUGGCUCAUGCCUGUAAUCCCAGCACUUUGGGAGGCCGAGAUGGGGGGAUCACUAAAGGUUGGGAGUGCGAGACCAGCCUGGCUAACAUGGUAAUACCCUGUCUCUACUAAAAAUACAAAAAUUAGCCAGGCGUGAUGGCAGGCGCCUGUAAUCUCAGCUACUUGGGAGGCUGAGGCAGGAGAAUCGCUGAACCUGGGGGGCAAAGGUUGCAGUGAGGUGAGAUCAUGCCACUGCACUCCAGCCUGGGCAACAGAGCAAGACUCUGUCUCAAAAAAUAAAAAUUAAAAAAAAAAAAAGAAAGGAUUUGUGGGCAGUCAGCCUUCUGAGUCAGCUCUGAUAUAUCUGAAAACGGGCAUGUUCUACCUUCACACCUAAUUGAUGGUUUCAUUCAGGGAUCAGCAACCUACUUUCCACGGGCCGCUUUUGGCUUGCUGCCUAUUUUUGCACAGCUGGCAGGGAACUAGAAGACAACUCAAUAUAGGGAGAAGAUGA